UAUAAUUCACAUAUCAAAAAUUCAUCUUUCUAAAAUGUACAAUUCAGUGGUUAUUCUACAUUCUCAAAGUUGUACAACUGUCACCAUUAUCAAAUUCCAGAACAUUUGCAUUAUGCUUAGGGUUCCAAAAUUUAAAUUUAUACCGACGCCAUUUCAUCAAGUGUUAGGUACAGCUCUUUCAGUACCCCACCAUGCCCAAGAGAAACAGUAUCAAGCUGAAAAACAAUCUCUUGGAAUAUCAUAAGAAAUUCACGUUUUGAACUCAGAUCUGACUACCGAAUCCAUACUGCCUUCCACCACUCCUCUGUGUCAAUGUUCCAUGCUAUCC